GCCGAUGUGGUGGAAUUGGUAGACACGAGAGACUUAAAAUCUCUUUUCCGUUAGGAAGUGUGGGUUCAAGUCCCUCCAUCGGUACCA
rnacentral:tRNA from 1 species